AAAGUUGUGCCCUCCACCUGCAGGAGUUACUGACAAGGAGGGCUCGCGCUUGGGGCUAGUGGUGGGGAGGCAGUGGCCAGUUCAGGGCUUAGAUGAGAGAUGGCAGAGUUAGAGGCAGCCACUAGGAUGGGGGUGCGAGGAGAAGCGGGGCUAACUAUAAAGGAGACUAAGUUUGGGGACAGUGAUCAUGUGGAAGGCAGCUUCCAAACUGCCUUUAACAAUCCACUCAGGGCCAGCAGCCUUCAAGACCAGGCUCUCCCUGCGGUCUGCUGGCAUGGGGGCACUUGAUGUCCAGGAGGACACAAGUUUCACAAGCCUACAUGGGGCCAGUGUCCUAGCUUGAGUGGCAGAGCAGCAGUUGGAGAUAGGUGGACUCGGGCCCUUGAGGCCCUGGAAAUCAUAGAUAGGCAGCGGGGGCAGGUCUAGGUGCAGUGGAGGUCGGACUUUGAACUUGACAAUACCAGCAGACCCAUUUUUUUCCAGAUAAGGGGUUGUGAACCCACCCGGGAUGAGGCCUGGUCUUAUGGAAAGUGGACUUAGCUUCGCUGGGCGGACAGCUCUGGCUCAGGGUGAUGGCAGUGCCCUCUCUGGACUUUGCCUAGGUCUCGUGCUUCCUCUUCUGUGGUCUCUUCCCUACUCUUCCCCCCUCACUCUGAGGUUAAGGUUUCAUUUAAAACCUUGCCUCUUGGUCAUCUGGUAAGCCUGGGGAAGAUGUAGAAUCGGUGUUGGAGUCUUGGCCUCAGCAUUCUGGUAUCACUGGUAAAGGCGGAGGACUCCCUGACUGGGCGGGAGGGUUGGUGUUGAAUGUGGACCCAUGAGUGGGCUCAUAGCCGUGGUCCCAGUCACCCAAAUGCUUCAUGGACAUGGUUUAUUACUGUAGUGUUCACCAUGGCAAGCAGAUGGCACCAGGAGCCCGGGCCAGUGUGAGUCGUAGCAGCAGUACAGGAGGGCAUACCCUGGAGGAGACAACGGCCUAAGUUGAUGCCUACACAGUGAAUUCCAGAGGCUUAGGAGGUUCUGCACUGCCCCUGUGUCCAGGCCUUUCUCGGGAAGCCCUGUGUUCAGGAGGCCAUCGUUUAAGUCAGCUUGUAGAGGGGUGGGCAGGUGCUUCCAAUUGGAGAGGCCACCGCCUGUGAAUGUUCAAGAUGAGUAUCUUGUUCGGGGAGCAUCUUCUUUACGGAUGCAUGAAUGCCAGCAGGCAUCUCCUUCCUGGGGGUAGAGGCGUUCAGCUGCUGCAUCUUCUAAACAAGCCUCCAGCCUUUCUAGUUCUGUGCUACGAACUUGGCCUCGAAGAUUUCGUUAAGGUGUAGGACACUUUAACUUCAGCGCAGCUUGAUGCCUUGUAGAUCGGGAGCCCAGUGACCUCGUGCCUUCACCCACCUUCCCUGAUUCUGCAGCCUGCCUGCCUCUGCAUUGGCCAGAGGACUUCUUAACUGAAAACUUUGGGUGUUGGGGAAAGCUGUUGGGUUUUAAAUGACUGGUGUGGAAGGGUCUUAGAUGGAACCGGUUAAAUGGGUGGGAUGUUGUGUUUUAAAAGUGUGGGAAGGCGCAAGUUAGCCACAAAUUGAGUUUGUAGAUGACAUAUCUGAUUUGGGCUUUGGGGUGGGAUCUGUACUAAGAAGGGAACAGUGGGCCUGCAGCGGUCUCUGGGAGUUUCUCUCCAUGGGUUUGGAUUUGGUACUGGGUGGUAGGCAAGUGCUACCCCACUGAGUGACAGUGGUUCUGGUUCCUUUGUUCAUUGGCUUUCAUGACUAGGUGCCUGGCUGUGUAUACCAGGCUGGCCUAGGUUCUCGCCCCUGCUAGGAUGACAAGUGUCUUCUAAAACAUGGCCUUCCAAGGUGAAGCUUGAGUUACUGUACUGGAUCAAGGUUGGGAAUACUUUUGGCACCAGAUGUGGGACUUGUGGGAGAGAGGAGGGCUCAGCUUGGCACUGGUGGGUUGAAGGAGUGCUGAUGAGGGGUGUGCUUGGAAUUGUGGGUUGAUGGGAAUAACAGUUUGGGAACUAAAUAAUAGCUCCUAUGAAAAUCUAAAGGCCGAUGGUAAAUCCUUAAUUCGGGGGACUGAAUUGAAUUGUCGAGAGGCAGAGACCGUUGCUUGGAAAAUACCAAAAUCCUUCCUACAAGGGGAAAAGCAAAAUUGUUUUGCUACACUGUUCAAUGGGAAAGGGUGAAAUUGAAAAGCUUUUCUUGGUCGCUCAGUAGAUGGUGUUAAUGUCCCAACACAGGCCAGCCUGUGGGCGAGGCGAGCCUGGCGCUGGGAAGCUUGUUUCCAAGAAGACUGGGAAGGGCUUGUAAAUGCCCACGUUGUGGGCUCAUAAAAGGCAUUGAUGUUUGUACUGGAGAUGGACAGACUUCUGGGUUUCUAGUUCAAACUCUUAUCAUACUGUGUGAUUAAGAACUCUAAUGCGUUGUCUACAGGAGUUAAAUGUGUGAAUGACGACUUACAUGAUACAGGGAUUUAAUGUGUGAGCCAUGCCUUCAAAACACAUCUUUAAUUUCUGGAAUUGGCCAGAAGACAACAGGGUUUGCUUAUUUAAUCUUUCAAAUCAGUCAGUCACUGUGACAAGGGACACGGUCUUGCACUUGCUAUGAGAUCAUUAUGAUGUUUGGUAGAAAACCUUAUCCGUGUACUUUGCCAAGGCUUCACUGAAUACAUACAUUGUGGGUUUGGCUUGAGUGGUGCCUUAAAUCCCCAAGCAGAGGGGGAACUAUUAACUCUCAGUCAAAGCAGUUUGGGAAAUAAAAGUGAAACUGGGCAUGGGGGAUCAUCUUACUAGAUAACACUCUGUAAAAAUUGCCUCUGAAAAUACUGUUUGUGUAUUUGUGAAAACCCUGUAUAUGUGUUUUAUGUGUGUGCUUAAAAGGGGUGUGACCAGGGCAUGAUCACUGUCUGGAACAGCAGUGUGCUGGUCAGGUUGGAAUGGGGAAUUGUGGAGGAAGCUGUAAUAGGCCCGCCGUACCUGCCUCUCUGUACUAAAGUGUUAAAGUGUACUAAUAAGUUUUCUCUCCUUUCCAGCAAAAUAAAGGUUUGAGAUUGAAGCUCCUUA